rnacentral:rRNA from 1 species
GAUGAACGCUAGCGGCAGGCUUAAUACAUACAAGUCGAGGGGUAGCAAGAUUGUAGCAAUACAAUUGUUGACGACCGGCAAACGGGUGCGGAACACGUACACAACCUUCCUACAAGUGGGGAAUAGCCCAGAGAAAUUUGGAUUAAUACCCCGUAACAUAGCGAUGUGGCAUCACAUUGCUAUUAUAGCUUCGGCGCUUGUUGAUGGGUGUGCGGCUGAUUAGAUAGUUGGCGGGGUAACGGCCCACCAAGUCUACGAUCAGUAGCUGAUGUGAGAGCAUGAUCAGCCACACGGGCACUGAGACACGGGCCCGACUCCUACGGGAGGCAGCAGUAAGGAAUAUUGGACAAUGGACGCAAGUCUGAUCCAGCCAUGCCGCGUGAAGGAUUAAGGUCCUCUGGAUUGUAAACUUCUUUUAUAAGGGACGAAAAAAGGUCUUUCUAGAUCGUCUGACGGUACCUUAUGAAUAAGCACCGGCUAACUCCGUGUCAGCAGCCGCGGUAAUAC